rnacentral:rRNA from 1 species
CGCGUUAAGUCGACCGCCUGGGGAGUACGGCCGCAAGGUUAAAACUCAAAUGAAUUGACGGGGGCCCGCACAAGCGGUGGAGCAUGUGGUUUAAUUCGAUGCAACGCGAAGAACCUUACCUACUCUUGACAUCCAGAGAACUUAGCAGAGAUGCUUUGGUGCCUUCGGGAACUCUGAGACAGGUGCUGCAUGGCUGUCGUCAGCUCGUGUUGUGAAAUGUUGGGUUAAGUCCCGCAACGAGCGCAACCCUUAUCCUUUGUUGCCAGCGGUUAGGCCGGGAACUCAAAGGAGACUGCCAGUGAUAAACUGGAGGAAGGUGGGGAUGACGUCAAGUCAUCAUGGCCCUUACGAGUAGGGCUACACACGUGCUACAAUGGCGCAUACAAAGAGAAGCGACCUCGCGAGAGCAAGCGGACCUCAUAAAGUGCGUCGUAGUCCGGAUUGGAGUCUGCAACUCGACUCCAUGAAGUCGGAAUCGCUAGUAAUCGUAGAUCAGAAUGCUACGGUGAAUACGUUCCCGGGCCUUGUACACACCGCCCGUCACACCAUGGGAGUGGGUUGCAAAAGAAGUAGGUAGCUUAACCUUCGGGAGGGCGCUUACCACUUUGUGAUUCAUGACUGGGGUGAAGUCGUAACAAGGUAACCAAGGGCGAAUUCCAG